CAGAGUUAGAGUGGCGCGGUGCCAGCACUCUUUAAGGUGGUUUGUGUUGAGCACCUGGUAGUGGAUCAGCAUGUUGUAGAAGUCUUGGCUGGUGUCCAGACAGCACGAUCCACACACAACGGCCGGCCCCGGAGCCCUCUGAUCCUCCAUCCUCUGCCGCUGAGCCUCCGCGAUCAGAUCCAGCAGCUCCUCGGUCUGAGAGUGGGACACCUCCUUCACACUCCUUCUAGCCUACCAGCAGAGCAGCAAGGAGAGGAGAGAGCACCAGCAGAACAGCAAGGAGAGGUCAGAGCACCAGGAGAACAGCAAGGAGAGAGGAGAGAGCACCAGGAGAACCACAAUGAGAGGUCAGAGCACCAGGAGAACCACAAGGAGAGAGGAGAGACAACUAGGAGCAGAACAAGGAGAGACGAGAGAGGAGAGACCAGUAAGAGCAGGACAACAAGGAGAGAGGACAAACCACCAGGAUCAGAACAAGGAGAGAGGAG
ensembl:lncRNA